rnacentral:rRNA from 1 species
AUACGUAGGUGGCGAGCGUUGUCCGGAAUUACUGGGCGUAAAGGGCGCGUAGGCGGAUUUUUAAGUCAGAUGUGAAAACUCUGGGCUCAACCCAGAGAUUGCAUCUGAUACUGGGAGUCUUGAGUGCAGGAGAGGACAGUGGAAUUCCUAGUGUAGCGGUGAAAUGCGUAGAUAUUAGGAGGAACACCAGUGGCGAAGGCGGCUGUCUGGACUGUAACUGACGCUGAGGCGCGAAAGCGUGGGUAGCAAACAGGAUUAGAUACCCUGGUAGUCCACGCCGUAAACGAUGGGUACUAGGUGUAGGAGGUAUCGACCCCUUCUGUGCCGGAGUUAACACAAUAAGUACCCCGCCUGGGGAGUACGGCCGCAAGGUUGAA